CUCAACCUUCAAAUCUCAUGAAGAACUCUUGCUUUCGUGAUGCCCAACUCUCACCGAAGUUCAUGAACCAUCCUUUUAAGUUCCUGCAAGGUGUCAAAUAGAAUUUCCAUGUACCAAAUCGGAUCAGUCAUAUCUAGAACAUGCAUAAGCAAAUAACGUAAAACACUAAACCAAAUAUACUACCAACUAGUAGCUUAACCAAAAAAAAUGUGAAAUUUAACUAGAAAAUAAAACAUACCUCAACGGACGAACAAGAAAUUUAAUUUUGAAAGAGAUGUGGUUGAAGAUGUAAUGACAUUUUUAUGCAACACAAUAUGCAAGAGAUAGAGCUGGGAGACCUAUUUAUAAAAGACUGAAUGAGUGAGUAGUGUAUGUGUUAGGAAAAAAAUUCCGACCGUUCUCUUUUUUUAAUAAUUAUAUGCCUUAAUUAAAUAAAACUUGGUGACUUGUUGAUUAUUUAAAUUUAAAAAAUUGAUUUAAAUACAAAAAAGGUGAAAAGUUAUCAUAACUUUUCACCUUUUUUAUAUUUUACUUAUUUAAAUUAAAUAGCUACAAAAUUGUGUUUAUCAUAUUUUUUUAUUUUAUUUAAUUACGAAUCAUUUUUUAAUUAAAAGAUUGAAAAGUCAUGACCCUUGAGUUCUUCCAACAAAUGAUCUAUCUAUUGCAUCAUAUGGUUCAUCUGGUGCAACCCCUUCUGUUGCAACAUAUGACUCAUCUAUUGGAAUAACUGAUUCAUUUUUUCUAUAUAUGAUUCAUCUUUUGCAAUAAAUGGCCCAUCAGUUGUAAUAGAUGACUCAUAUAUUGCAACUGAUUGUUCAUCUAUUGAAAAAAAUAAAUCAGUAGCAAGAUUUAUUCAAUAGAACCAAUAAUAACUCAUCAUUUAUCAAUACACCAUUUUUACCAAGACCAACAACUUAUCAAUUUAGUUGUUACUAAUAAUGGCUUAAUUUGAAUCAUUUCAAAUUAAAUUGGUCAAUUAUUAAUUCAUAUUUAAGUUUAGUUAAGUCAAUUUAGUUAUUAUGAAUAAUGGCUUAAUUUGAAUCAAUAGAUGUCUAACAUGUUGCAACAUAUGAAUCCUCUGUUAAAAAUUACCAAACAGAUAAAGACAUCUAUUGAAAAUGAUCAAACAGAUAUAGACAUUUGUUGCAACAGAUGACUAACCCGUUGCAAUAACUAACUCAUCUAUUGAAAAUUAUCAAAUAGAUAUAGGCAUCUGUUGCAAUAGAUGACUAAGUUGUUGAAACUUAUAACUCAUUUGUUGGAAAUUAUCAAACAGAUAUGAUAUAUGUUGAAAAGUAAUUAAAAAUACUAAAGCUCAAAUAUUUUUAGGAGAAAUCAAAUUUUUGUCCCCUUGUCUAAGGUCAUGUCUUAGAGACUUUUCUUCAAUUUUAAUUAAAUCAGUUUAGUUAUUAUCAAUAAUUGCUUAAUUUGAAUUAACAAAUGACUAACCUGUUAUAAACAUCUUUUGCAACAGAUGACUAACUUGUUGCAACAAAUAGGUCAUCUGUUGGAAAAUAAUUAAAAUAGUAGGGAACAAACAUUUUUAGGAGAACUCAAAUGUUUGACCCAUUGUCUUAAAGACUCAUCUUUAAUUUUAGUUAAAUCAAUUUAGUUAUUUAUAAUAAUUGCUUAAUUUGAAUCAACAAAUGACUAACAUGUUACAACAGAUGAUUCAUCUAUUGGAAAAUAUCAAAUAGAUAUAAAAUUUGUUGUAACAGAUAGGUCAUCUAUUAGAAAGUAAUUAAAAUACUACAGAACUUAAAUUUUUUUAGGAGAACUCAAAUAUUUGUCCCCUUGAUCCUUUUUCAUUUGAAGUAUGGUAUACUGUUUUUGCCUUCUUUAUCUGUUUCGUGAAAUUUUUCAUACGUUUCACUUAUUCGUUGUGCCCCUGUUGAAAUAUUUUAGGUCAAACUUUAUUUGUAUAUCACUUGUACAUUACUUUAAAGGUAAUUUUGUAAGUAAAAUUAUGAUUUUUGUUGAAUUUCUUAUUUGGUGUAUUUGCUACUGCUACAAUGGAUAGAACCUGUAACAUGAAUCCAACAUAAGAGUUAUCUGUUACAACAAGUGAUUAAUCUGUUAUAACAGAUGAUUCACCUAUUGCAACAGAUGACCAAUAAGCUGGAUUUGUGUUAUAACACUAUAGUAUGAAUCCAAAAGAUGAGUAAAUUGUUGUAAUAUAUAAAUCAUCUCUUGCAACAAAUAAGUAAUCUUUUGCAACAUAUGACUCAUCUAUUGCAAUAGAUUACCAAUAUAUGGUUGCAACAUAUGACUCAUCUAUUGUAGUAUAUGAUUCAUAUGUUGCAGCAGAUUACUCAUCUGUUGGAUUCACGUUACGUGUUUUAUCCAUUCUUGAUAAAACAACAGUACCAGAUAUACCUUGAUAAGAAAUUCAACUAAAAAUUAUACUUUUGCUUACUAAAAUCACCUGAGUAACACACACUAAGAACAUAAAUAUUUACCAACAACAUCAAUAUUUUACAAACACAAAUAACAAAAAACAUAAAAAAAAUAAUAACAAAAACCAACAAAUCAACAGUUGUUUGUUAGAUUUCGUCACAAAGAUGUCUCUUAAAAUAUACUAAAAUUCAACUCUCGCUAUUUUUACAACAAUAUUCGACAAUAAGUACUACAAUAAUAAUAAAAAGUUAUAUUUCACUCUAAAAUGAGAAGAAAAGAAAUACAACAAAUUAGGGUAUUCUUGAGUCCACAUUGUAAAUUUAAGAAACAAAUAUGUAAAUUGUUAACUCAUACUAUAAAAGAAGUUAACUCAAGUUCCUCAUUUUCUUCAUAAUUUAAAAACCCUAAUUUUGUACCUGUAAAAAUUGAAAAGAAAUGAUGAAUAACUCGAAGUUGUUAUUGCCAGAGAAUGUUGUCACAUCGACUGACGGUUGAAAGUAAAAAAGUAAUGGGCAAGAACUCAAAACUAUUUAUCGUUGGAGGUUGAAGUUGCAGAAGAUUGAAGGGAGAAAUUUGGAAAGUUGUUGGUCGGGAAUAUUUGAGAGAAAAACUAUCUAGAGAAAGAGAGGAGAGGCCAUUGAUUUGUAGAGAGAGGGGAGUUUUGUGGGUGUAGGUUGAUUUAUAUUUUUGGAAAGAUUAGAAAUUUUUGAAAAUAUUAAUCAAGUCCGCAAUUAACUUAAUCAAGUUUUCUCAUUAUGUUUAACCUUUUAAGUAGGUCAAUGUCACAAAUCCUUCGUUCAGGACUUAAAUGACACCUUUCCUUCAAUUUUCUCUUUUAAUUGAUCCUACUUACACACAACAACUCAUCUUAACAUUAUUAUAAUUUUUAUUUCAUUUAGACAGAUUUAAAAAUCACAAAUCUCCAUCAUAAUAUAUUGAGAAGAGAAAAUGGCCUAAAGCCCCCAUACCUUUACCCCAAAUCCCAACUACACACAUAUACUUUGCUGAGGUCGUAUGGCACCCCUGAACUAUUUUAUAGUGGAAUUACUACCCCCCUGAACUAUUUUAAAGUGAAUUAUUACCCCCUUAAAAACUGACAACCAGUUAUUUGGGCAUAUGGUGUGAUGCACGCAUUGCCACGUAAUGCCACGUCAUUGCCACAUUAUUUUUUCUUUUUUUACUCUAAAAAAAUUAUUAUUUAACAUUAUCAUUUCCUUUUUUCUUCCCCUUUCCCAUUUUGCUCCAUUUUUUUCUUCAACCCAAUUUCAACUUCUUGUGUCAAAAAUAGAAAAUGAGUGUGCAAAUGUACUCACACAUACACACGUAUGUUCUUCUUCAACCCAUUAAUGGCGGAUAAAUACUCCUUAAAUCUUUUCAUCUCUUUUUGCUCAAGAUCACCAUUAAUGGCGAAUUCUUCCCCAUUGUGAAAAUUUAAACCUUUGAUCUUGCCAUUAAUGGCGGAUCUUGAGAAAAAAUAGAAAAAAUUAGAGAAAUGGGUUUAAAAUUAUACGUGGGUUAUGUUGGAAAUAAUAUAGGGCAUUAUCGAAAUUCAAAGCUUUGAACUCUCCAUUAAUGGCGAUCUUGAGUGAAAAGAGAGGAAAUUGAAGUUCUUGAAUUUUUGCAUGAUUUUUGAAUUGGAGUUCCUCAUAUUCGUCAUAUUCGUCAUUCAAGAAAUCAUUAAUCAGAGAAAUCUUAUUAUUUUGUUAGUUCAAGUCUUUCUUGGUUUUGGUAAUAACAUUUUUCAAAAUAUCAAAAAUCACCAUUAAUGCGAAUUUGGAGAUGAGAAAGAUGAAGAACUCCAUUAAUGAGUUCUUGAAUUUUUGUUUUGAAAAAAAUAAGAAGAAGACAUGUUGUGGCAAUGAAACAAUACCGAAUUUUAAGUGAAAUAGACUAAACUAACGCGCUCAUGGGUGGUGUAGUCAUGUCCAUUGACACGUCAGCAACUGGGGGGUAAUAAAUUUGGUAAAAAUAAGUUUAGGGGGGUAAUAGGUCACCUUUAAAAGUUGAGUGUGUAGUUGAGAUUUUGACUAAAGGUUGGGGGGGUAAUAGACCAUUUUCUCUUAAAAUUUUCUUGCACUCCAUUGGUAGCUGGUUAAAAGCUUGAGUUUGUAUAUUCUCUUCUUUCUCUAUAGAUAUACUAGCUAAAUUGUCAGCAACUGAUUUGCCUCCCUGAAAAUAUGUUUGAUAAUUGUAAGACCACGUAAGAUCCUAGGUUAAUUCAGCUCACCAUUGUAUGUAAAAGGGGUCCAAGAGUUAGAAAAUUUCACUAAGUGUUAGGACUUAGUCAUUUCUAAAGGCACCAAAACAUUGAUGAUUUUAUUUUUGACCUUCCUAACAUUGAAAAGUUAAUUUUUAUGAUGAUUCGUGAUCGACGUUGUCAAUAGAACAUCUCAGGUGAGUUUUGGAAUUUUCAGGCAAGCGUAAGGGCACGUUUAGAGAUGCAAAAUAGUAGACACCCCCAGAAUGGCCAGCGGCAUGGGGCUUAGCCUACUGUUGGGGUGCCUGUAGUAGAGCCUGUAGGACGGGGAUGAGACCGCCGGUCCAGAGCCCGUGGCGCCCGGCUCUUCGCCCGCCCCUAUUUUCCAGUUUUUGAUUUCAUUUUUCCAAGGGUAAUUGGGUCUUUUCCCUUCACCCAAUUGAUCCAUAACACGUGAUUAAGGGUCCCAAAAGCAUUAUUUGUCAUCUUUUACUCCAAAUUCUCUAAACAAAAGCAAUUCUCUCUCAAGAACAAACCCUUGCCUCUUCAAAAUUCAAGCUCAAGCUUCAAGAAACCACUAGGAACUUUCACUAAUUCAACAAUAAAGGUAUGUGUGAUUUUUAUUCAUGGGUCCUUUUCACCCAUGGAGUCCAAGAAUCCAUUUCCAUGUUUAAAGAUAUAAUGUUGCUACUCUAUUCCUCAGGCCUUAGUAAAGUAUCAAUUGAUGCAUUGUAACACAACAAGAGUACACCCUGGGAAUCACACGGUGCUUACAGUCCCGAGGGACCACAAGAAAAAACAUGAGCUGGUACCUGCUGUGAGUACUGAAUAAUAAUAUCAUAAUUGUGGAAGAACAACUAAUAUGCCAUAAGGUUUUAUUACUGAAUUAAUAUUAAAAUAUGAAUCUAGAGAAACUACUAUCUGAAUGUGAUAAAAUACUGAUAAACUGGAUAUCUAACUGUAAUGUCUGAAUACUGAAUAACUAACUCUAAUGCCUGAUAAGCCUCUAAAACUGAAUGAAUGUGAGUUGAGGGGAAAGGCCCCAACUAACUCCAACUAACUACUAAACUGAGACAUCAAAUAAAGUAAACCUAUCCUUGAAGUAUGAGGACUCACCACUACUACUAUUGAGGAUCCGAUAAAUCUAAUCACAAGCUAAGAACUGAGCUCCAGAAUCUAUGUUAUAAUACAUUAUAGCGCAAAAGAAAAGGUAUACAAUUAGUACUUUGAAUGUACAGGUAUGCUAAAUGAGGUAGGCUGAUAUGCAUGGUUUUAUGAACAGAGCUUAUAAUAAACUAAAUAUGCAUAUAAGGCAUGGAGUGCUGAAUAGAGAGCAUGAAAUUUGUAGGUACUGGAAAUAUGUGGAAAUCUAUAAAUACUGAGUAUACAUAAAAAUCUAUAAAUACUAAAGAUAAGUGAAAAUCUGUAGAUACUGAGGAUGCAUGACCAAGCAUAUAUCAUGAAUUGAGUAAAAUCUAUAAACUAAAAUACUAAAAUAACUAAAAUCUGUAUGCUUUGGUCAAACAACACUAAGACUGAAUAACCAAAAUGGGACUGUAACUGAGAUUGUGGGAGGUAUCAUCUAAUAGAUAUUCCCUAAUUUAAGCUAAUCGGGGUCCAACCUGUAACCCCAGUUGGAAGGGUGUUAAUACCAUGCCACGGGUACUUACACUGGCUGUGUGGAUCCACUAAAAUAAUAAAUUGUCCAAAGGACUAAGGGUGUCAACCUUGAACUGAUGGGUGACCCCUGCGAGAUAGUCAAGCCUAAUCUAACGGUUGACUUCUCAUAUCCUACGCUUGCUAUGUAGUUCUAGAGUAUAGGGACUGCUACUAAAGAUUCUGCUUAUCUGACGUGGAAACUGCCAUCCCUACACUCGCUCGGUGCUAUAUCCCAAUCCCAACUAAAAGACACUGAAAUACUAGACUAUUCUGAGUUUAACUGACUGAUAUCUGACUAUUCUGAUAAUGUUCAUAGUAUGUUCUAAAGACUAUUCUCUAACUUACUAAGACUAGACUACAUAAACAACUAUUGUUUUUGAGUAUUUAAUACCCCCAGGACUCAAAAACAAUAAGGGUAAAAUGACACUAAAUCUUGGGGGGCAAAUCAUGAAGGCUUUUAUUAAAUCAAUCACUCUUGUAGGCAUUUUAUCAAACACUUGUAGUUCAUAGUUUAAGACAAUCAUAGGAAUGACAUAGAACUUAUAGAAAUAGCAUGAAUUUGGCAUAAUAGUAUUAAAUAAAGGUUUAAUUCAAAAAAAUAGUAAUAUUAAUACAUGGAGGAUUGAAUAAUAACAAUAAUUUCAUUGAAUCAUGGUAUAAAAUCAAUAGUAUAUGGAGAUUCAUGGGUGAAAUCAUAAUUUAAAAUAAAUUAACUUACAAAUAUCACAAUUUUAUAAUUUAAAUAGGAUACUUGAACUCCAUGGAUGAAAGGAAUCCAUGGAUGAACAUCUAACGUACCUGGGAUAAUGGAUUUAGGAGGAUUAAUGGGGAGUUUUUGAAAUUUGGCCUUGAAUUUGAGAGUUCGGGUUUCUUGUUCUUGAAGAGAGUUGAUUUUAAUUUGAGAGAAUAAUGGAAAAGUGAGCAUACAAUGCUCUCUUAGGGUUAAAUCUCAUGUUAAGGCAGAUUUGGGGCCAUGGGAAAAGACCAAAUGGCCCCUAUAAUUUAAAAUUGUAAAAUUGGAAAAAUUCUCGAUUUUCACCCUUGGCAUGAUGCGUCACUAUCGCGCCAAGCCACUAGAAAAGGGACAAUUGGAAAAAUUCAUGGUGGACUGUUGUGGCGUAAUCAUGUUUCCACCUUGUUUAUGACCUGAAAGCUCACCUUGACGCGGUGGAAUCACGAAGAGACACCGGAAACUGUCAAAUGCCAAUUUAGCCUUUUGCGCGACGCGCCAAGAUCGCGCUCCUUAACUGGAAAUUUCCAAUCAUCAUUUAGACUAGCUCCGCGAUGCGCUAAGGGUUAAAAUGAUGGUGUUUAGUGACUGAAACUUAAAAUCGCCAUAACUUCUUACGCACUUAUUGGAUUUGAGCGAAUUUUAUAUCGUUGGAAAGCUAAUUUAAUUUUCUAUGCAAUGUAAGGCUCUAAAACGACAAAUAAUGAGUAUUUAAAAAUUUUAUAUAUCAAUACUCAUGUAUUUGGACUUAUAUUACACUACGGAAAUGUAAGGUAUUACAAUAUCUCCUAAUUGGGAUUAUUUGUCCUCGAAUAAGUCUGGUUAAGCUGAGGGAAAACUGAUGGACUGAGCUUACACACAUAACAUGCAUAUCUGAUGCAUGUAAUACACGACUGAACUGACUCAUGAAUGCACGACUUACAUAAACAUGAUGUGCAACUAAAACUGAGCAUGAUAGAGAAAAAUCUUAAGAAGAUUAGUACCUUAUACUGAAUCUGGAUUUGCGGAGAAAAGAUGAGGGUACUUGGUCUGCAUAUCUGCUUAUGUUUACCAAGUUUCUCCCUCAACAGACUGGUUCCACCAAAGAAAUUUCACUAAUAGAACUUCUUUGUUCCUUAGUCAAUGAACUUGAUGAUCAUGAAUUUUACUAGAACUUCCUCCAAGGAAAGACUAUUCUGAAUAUCUGCACUUUCUAAGGGAACAAGUACAUCUGGAUCACCAAUACACUUUUUCAACAAUGAGACAUGGAAUACUUGGUGUACUAAAGAUAGGCCAGAAGGUAACUCAAGCUUAUGGGCUACCUUUCUGAAAUGACUGAGAAUUCUGAAGGGACCAACAUUUCGGGGACUGAGAUUCCCUUUCUUGCUGAAUCUUUUACUCCCUUCAUUGGAGAGACUUUUAAGUACACAGAAUCACUAACCUCAAACAUGUAGUCCUUUCUCCUUACAUUUUCAUACGAUAUUUGUCGACUCUGGGAAACUCUAAGUCUUUCUCUGAUCAACUGAACCUUCUCUAAUGCAUCAAACCCCAAGUCAGGUCCUAAUUCUGCUGCCUCACCUACUUUAAACCAACCAAUUGGAGAUCUACAUCUCCUACCAUAGAAAGCCUCUAAUAGAGCCAUUUAGAUACUAGAAUGAUAGUUGUUAUUGUAUGCAAACUCAAUAAAAGGCAAGUGGUUAUCCCAAUUACCCUUAAAAUCAACUACGCAUGCUCUCAUCAUAUCUUCAAGAAUUUGAAUGGUCCUUUCUUCUUGACCAUCUAUCUAAGUGUGGAAAGAUGUACUGAGGUGGACUUGGGUACCAACCUUUUGGAAUGCCUUCUAGAAGUGAGAUGUAGACUUGGUACCUCUAUUUGAGAUGAUAGAUAAGGAAAAACCAUGCAAGCUAACCAACUCUCUGAGAUAGAGUUUGGUGUAGUCCUCAGCUGAGUAAGAGGUAUGGACUGGUAAAAAAUGAGCUGAUUUGGUUAUCCUAUCUAUGAUAACCCAAAUAGAAUUAUGUUGAUGAUAGGUACGAGAAAAACCUAUCAGAAAAUCCAUGUUCACUUCUUCCUAUUUCUAUGUGGGAAUAAUGAACUCCGCAUGGACCCACUAGGCUUCUAGUGAUCUAUCUUAACUUGCUUGCGUUUAGAGAAUUUAGCUACAAACUCCACAAUAUAUAUCUUCAUCCCACUUCUCCAAUAGAUCUCCCAUAAUAACGGGACAUCUUAGUGGCCUCUGGAUGAAUAGAGUAAUGUGCACUAUGCGGUUCUGAAAGAGUUCUGUGCCUUAAGUUAUCUACAUCAGGCACACACAAUCUAUGCUAACAACGCAACACACUAUUUCCCCCUUGGGAGAAAACCUCUAUUUACUAAUCUCUAACUGAUUUCUUCAACUUAACUAGACUGGGAUCUCUAUCCUAUUUUUCCUUCACCUCAUAAACUAGAGAUGAUUCGGCGUUACUCUGCACCCACACACUACCCUCUGCUGAAUCGAAUAAAUAGAUACCUAGUCGAUUGCGCUUAUGGACUUCCUAAGCUAACUUCUUCUUACCAUCAUCAACAUGAGCAACACUACCCAUAGAAAAUCUACUGAGAGCAUUAUCCACUAUAUUAGACUUGCCCGGAUGAAAUAGAACACUCAUGUCAUAAUUCUUCAAUAACUUUAACCACCUUCUCUGACACAAAUUUAAAUCUUUCUGAGAGAAAACAUACUGAAGGUUCUUAUGGUCAGUGAACACAUGAACUUGCACCCCAUACAAGUAAUGCCUCCAAAUCUUUAAGGCAAAUACUACUAUUGCUAACUCAAGAUCAUGAGUCGGAUAAUUCUUUUCAUAAGGUUUAAGAUGUCUUGAGGCAUAGGCUAUAACCUUACCUCUCUUCACGAGAAAAUAACUCAAACCUAUUCUUGAUGCAUUACAUUACACAACAAACCCACCAAAACCAUCUAGAAAGGUAAGAACUGAAGCUGAGGUAAGUGAAGUACAAUUCUGAGGUGGUUCGGAUGAUCAUUUUCGCUAUAAGAGUAAAUAAGAAUGUCAUCAAUGAAUACUAUGAUGAGCAUAUCCAAGUACUGUUUGAACACUCAGUUCAUCAAAUCCAUGAAGGAUGCUGGGGCAUUCGUAGACCAAAGGACAUGACUAGAAAUUCAAAAUGACCAUACCGGGUUGGUAAAACUCUUUUUAGAAUGUCAUAUUCCUUGACCCUUAGCUGAUGAUAGCUUGAUUUGAGGUCUAUCUUGGAAAAGUAGCUGGCACCCUGAAGUUGGUUAAACAAGUCAUCGAUUAUAGGAAAUGGAUAUUUAUUCUUGACUGUGACUUUGUUUAACAGAUGAUAGUCUAUGCACAUUCUGAGAAAACCAUCUUUCUUACACAUAAAUAAAAUAGGUGAGCCCCACCGGAGAUGUUGGGUCUGAUGAAUCCCUUAUCUAGAAGAUCCUUUACAGUUCUUUUAAAUCCUUGAAUUUAUUUGGGGCUAUUCUGUAUGGCAGAAUAGAUAUGGAUUGAGUAUCUGGGAGAAGGUCUAUUACAAAGUUGAUUUCUCUUUUGGGAGAAACUCUAGGAAGAUCUUCAAGGAACACAUCUGGAAAUUCCCUCACUACUUAAACUGACUCAAGAGUUAGAGUUUCUGAAUUUGAGUCUUUGACUCAUACAAGAUGAUAAAUACAUUCCUUCGACAUCAUCUUUGUUACUCUUAAGGUAUGAAAUCAACUGACCUCUAAGAGCUAUGGUACUACCCCUCCAUUGAAGGAUGGGUUUAUUUGGGAACUGAAAAAGAACCAUUCUAUUUCUAUAAUCAACUUAGGCAUAGCAUAAGUGGAGCUAAUCCAUGCUGAAAAUGAUGUCAGAAUCUGUCAUCUCUAACUCCAUGAGAUUAACUGAGGUAAAUUUCUGAGAUAUUAAGACCAGACAAUUCCUGUAUACCUGUCUGGCUACAAUGGAAACACCUACUAGGGUAGACACUAAAAAGGGAUCUACUAAAGUUUUGGGACUGACUCUAAAAUUGAUGGCUAUAUAUGGAGUUACAAAAGAAAGAGAAGCUCCAGGGUCUAGUGAAGCAUAAAUAUGUAAGUAAAAGACCUGCACGUACCAUCAACUACAUUAGGAGAAUUUUCCUAAUCUUGGUGGGACUGAAGAGCAUAUAAUCUGUUUGGACGCUGACUACUGGUAGCACUGGAAGUGGCACCCUACUGAGUUAGGCGACCGGAUGGAACUGACAAUUGAUUGGACUGGACUGUUGGCGGAAAUCCCUACCUUUCUGAGCAGCUACCUGACACUCCUAAAUUUGAUGGCCUGGAUUGCCACACCUGAAGCACAUAUCACUACCUGCUCUACACUCACCCUGAUGGUUCCUACCAUAAUUUCGUUAUAGAGGGUUUGAACGGGCACUGCUAAUACUGUCAUGAGACUUAGAGCUUAGUUCUCUAUCCUUGUUGUUAUUUCUGAAUUUAUGUAAGAAAGCACUGACUGAAGAAGAUGCUAGGGCUGAAGACCUCUGAUGAAACUGAGAAUGGUUAUCACCUUCUGACUUUGGCAGACUGAAAUUAAAACUACCCAUUCUAUCUCUCUUAUUUCCACUCUACCUCUCUUUAAUCUUUUGCUCCUCUAUAUGUUUAUCAUGUGCUAUAAACCUAGUCAAAUCCAUAUCACUAAUCAAUAAUGUGGUCCUACACUCUUUGACCACACUAUCAGAUACGUCAGACAUGAACUUACUUUUCUUGGACCUGUUAUCAGCUACCAUAUGAGGAGCAUUUCAACCUAACUGAGUAAACUUGAGAGAAUACUCCCUCAUGCUCAUGGUUUCCUAACUCAAGUUAAUAAACUAUAACACCUUGGCCACCCUCAACUCAGAUGGGAAGAAUCUGUCUAAGAAAGUUGUGGCAAACUCUUCCCAUUCUACAAGACCUGCAUCUACACCUCUAUCAACCUUCCGCUGCUUAAACUAAAGUAUGGGCAAUAUUCUAUAACUGAUAUGCAGCCAACUCGACACUCUCACUGGAUAUCACCCCCAUACUCCAUAGUAUCCGUUACCUUUUGAACUAUAUCUAAGAAUUUCUAUGGUUUCUCUUUAGACUUGGAUACCAUGAAGGAUAAAGGAUUCAUUCUAUUGAAGUCCAGAAUUCUUGUUGCAGUAGUAUUGGCCACUGGGUUGGCCUGAACAACAGCUGGCCAUUUAUUCUAACCUGCUAUGGAGUUUGCUAGAGUAGUGAAUGCAGCUCUAAAUUCUGCGUAAGAGACAUGCUCAUCCAGAGGAUCUGCCUGGAUGGACUAAGGGGCUAGCUGGUUUCCUAUUCUUCUUUCAUUCUUCUUGGGAGGCAUGUUCUAUAAACAAAAGGAAGAAAUGGAUUAGGUUGAGAGUUUAACAUGAGCUCAUGCUCACUCCCAUGACAUGAAUACUAAAAGAAGGGAAACUUUUCCUAAACGCCUUGUAGCCUCUCGUCCAUAAGUGAGGCAUGCUACACACCUAUGCAUAAGACUCUACUUGACACAACUUUUAGACUUUCUAGGAAACUUUAAGACCUUAGGGACUGAUACCAAGUUUGUAAUACCCCGAGAGUACACCCUAGGCGUUACAUGGUGCUUAUAGGCCCGAGGGACCAUAAGAUAACCCAUGAGCUAGUACUUGCUGUCAGCACUAAAUAAUAAUAUUAUAUUUAAAGAAGAACAACUGAUAUGACAUAAUGUUUUAUUACUGAAUCAAUAAUGAAAUAUGAAUCUAGAGAAAUAACUGUCUGAAUCUGAUAAAAUACUGAUAAACUCGAUAUCAAAUUGUAAUGUUUGAAUACUGAAUAACCGACUCUAAUGUCUGAUAAGCCUCUAAAACCAAAUGAUGGUAAGUUGAUGUGAUAGAAACCAAUUAAUUCCAACUAACUACUAAACUGAGAUAUGAAAUAAAGUAAACCUAUUUUUGAAGUAUGAGGACUCACUACUGCUACUGUUGAGGAUCUAAUAAAUCUAAACGCUAGCCGAGAACUGAGCGUUAGAACCUAUGAUAUAAUAUAUCAUAGCAUAAAAAAAAAGGUAUGCGAUCAGUACUUUAAAUGUAUUGGUAUGCUAAAUGAGGUAGGAUGAUAUGGAUGGUUUCAUGAACAUAACUAAUAAUUAACUGAAUAUGCAUGUAAAGCAUGGAGUACUAAAUAGAGAGCAUGAGAUUAGUAAGUAUUGGGAAUAUGUGGAAAUCUAUAAAUACUGUGUAUACAUGAAAAUUUGUAAAUACUGAAGAUAAAUGAAAAUCUAUAGAUACUGAGGAUGGAUGUCUAAACAUAUAACAUAAACGGAGUAAAAUCUGUAAACUGAACUACUGAAAUAAUUGAAAUUUGUAUGCUUUGGUCAAACAACACUAAGACUGAAUAACCAUACUGGGAUUAUAACUCAGACUAUAUUUCAGGCUGUGGGAGGUAUCAUCUAACCAACAUUCCCCAAUUGGAGCUGAUCAGGGUUUAACCUAUGAUCUAGUUAGAAAGUUGUUUAUACCAUUUAACGGGUACUAACACUGGCUGUUUGGAUCCACUGAACUAAUAAAAUUUCAUAAGGACUAAGGGUGUCAAUCCUAAACUGAUGGGUGACCCCUGCGAGAUAGUCAAGCCCAAUCUGACAGGUGACUUCUUAUAUCCUAUGCUGGCUACGUAGUUCUAUAGUAUAGGGACUGCUACUAACGACUCUUCCUAUGUAAUGGGGAAGCCUCCAUCCCUACACUCUCUCGAUGCUAAAUCCUACUCCCAACUGAAAGACACUGAAAUACUUGACUGUUCUGAGUUUAGCUGACUGAUAUCUGACUAAUAUGAUAAUGCUCAUAGUAUGUUUUGAAGACUAUUCUGUAAUGUACUGAGACUAAAAUAAAUAAACAGCUAUGGAUUUUAGGAAUUCAAUACCCCCAUGACUCAAAAACAACAAUGGUAAACUAACACUAAAGCUUUGGGGACAAAACAUGACGGCUUUUAUUAAAUCAAUCACUCCUGUAGGAAUUUUAUCAAAUACUUACAGUUUAUGGUUUAAAACAAUCAUAGGAUGUCAUGGAACUUAUAGAAAUAGCAUGAAUUCGACAUAAUAGUAUUAAAUCAUUAUUUAUUUCAAUAAAUAUUUCAUUUUUCUACGCAAUGAUAGGCUUUAAACUAAUAAAUAAUGUGUAUUUAAAAAUUUUAUAUACAAAUUCUCUUGUAUUGGGACUUAGAUUACGCUUAUGAAAUGUAGGGUAUAACAUGCACAUUAUCCUUUCACGUUUCAGGUCCUCAUGUUCUAGCCUUUCUAUGACUUUUCCUUAUGUCAAGCUAGAGAUGAUGAAUAGUUUUUAAGAUAGGAGAGAGUGAAUGUUUCUUAUUUACAAAAGAUUAUUAUAUGUUUAUUUUAGCUAAGGUUGUAAGUGUGAAGAAAGAUUGAGGCCAAGUUUUUGAUGUAUUCAUGUUUAGUUGAAUAUAAGUUUUCUAUAUAAUUAAAUCCGUUUAGCCAAUAGUUCAGUUAGUAGUCAAACAAACAAGUUCCUAUGAUUUUUCAAAUUUUUUGAUCUAGUUUUACUAUAUGAUGUGUCAUGAAUAUAGCUAUUUCAACAGAUAGUUUAUCUGCAUCCAUGUAAAUUGUGAAUCCAGUUCAGUCCAUGCAUCAUGUUUCAGAUUCUAGAUAUUCAGUCAUGAUUUAGUUCUUAAGUGCCCCAUGCAUCAUCUCAGUCUUUCCUUAGUAUUUAAAUCAAGUUAGUAUCAUCUGGAGGACGAACUAUCCUAAUGGGGAGAUAUUGUAGUACCCAAAGUUUACAUAUACUAAACUUCUCAACCAUUCUCGACAAAACAAGAUCCAUCUUAAAGUAAUGGGUACUCACAAGUUGACUCUCUUGUUUUUAUCUCAGCCCUAUUUACAUUCUCAUGUCCUGCAUGUAUUCAUGAAAUCAGUUCAACCAUGUAUCAUGUUUCAGACUCAGUCAUGUAAUAAUGUUUUCAGUCAUGCAUGUUCAGUAGAUGAUCUUAGUUCCUUCAGUACUCUCAGCUUAACCAGUCUUAGUUGAGGAAGAAUGUUCCUAAGGGGGAGAUAUUGUAAGACCCUGUAAGAUCCUAGCUCAAUUCAGCUCACCAUUGUAUGUAAAAGGGGUGCAAGAGUUAGAAAAUUUCACUAAGUGUUAGGACUUACUGAUUUCUAAAGCCCCUAAACUUUGAUGAUUUAAUUUUUGACCUUUCGAACAUCAAAAAGUUUAUUUUUAAGCUGAUUGAUGAUCGGGGUUGUCAAUAGAACAUCUCAGGUGAGUUUCAGAAUUUUUGGACGAGAGUAAGGGAAUAUUUUGAGACCAAAAUAGUAGACCCAUAGAAUGGGCCUGCUGUGUGGGGCUUGAUCAGCUGCUGGGGUACCUAUGGUAGAGCCCGCGAUGCGGGGCUUUGACGUUCGGUCUAGAGCCUACAACUGCCGGCUUAUUACCCGCCCCUAUUUUUCUAGCUUUUGAUUCCAUUUUUCCAUGGGUAAUUGAGGCUUUUCCCUUUACCCAAUUGAUCCAUAACACGUGAUUAGUGAUCCCAGAAGCAUUAUUUGUCAUCUUUUAUUCAAAAUUCUCUCAAAAGAAAGCGAUUCUCUCUCAAGAAAAAACCCUAGCCUCUUCAAAAUUCAAGCUCAAGCUUGAAGAAACCACCAAAUACUUUCACUAAUUCAUUAAUUAAGGUAUGUGUGAUGUUCAUUCAUGAGUCCUUUUCACCCAUGGAGUCUAAGAAUCUGUUUUCAGGUUUAAACCCAUGAUUUUUACUUGUUAUUUAGAAUUGUUGUCAUGAAGUUAUUAUGAAUCUUGAUUAUAAAUAUGUUUACCUUGAGUUUUUAUUGGAAAUUGUCCUUGACACGUUUGAAUGAUGAUUUUUGAAUGUUAAACCCUAAAUUCAUGAUUUUAUUAUUUCAAUUAUGUUAGAAUCACAUGUUUUAACUAAUCUCAUGCUUAAGCCUGUUAAUUUCAAGUGUUUGAUGAAAUGCCUAAAAGAUUGGAUUUUGAGCAAUGACUACUUAUUAUGUUUUCAAAGCUUUAGUAUGUUCCUAUUGUUAUUUUUAUUGAGUCCUGCGGGUUUUUAAUACCCAAAAUUUAGCUGUUUACCUAGUUUUUAGUUAUACUAUGGGAAAAAUCAUUCAGUCAGUAAUAUAGUCAGUUGUGAGUCCAUUAUUCUCAGUUCAGUCCAACAAUCAGUGUCUUUCAGUUGGAAGUAAAACUUAGCAUCGAGUGAACAUAGGGAUGGAGUCUUCCCCAUCAGUAGGCAUGAGACACUUUCCUCCCACAUCAGUAGGCAUGAGAUGUUAGUAGCAGUCCCAAGGUGUUAGAACUAUGACACCACCGUAGACUUUGAGGGGUCCCCUAUUAGUUAGGCAUGACACCGUCAUCCUUUGAGAUAUCAGAUUAGUGGAUCUACAUAACCAAUGUUAGUACCCGUAGCACGGUACUGAUGUCCUUCCAAUUGGGGAUACAGGUUAGACCUUGAUAGUACAUUGGGGUAUGUCGGUUAUAGAUAACUCUUACAGUAUCAAUUCAAUAUUUAGUACAGAGUUCAGUUUUAGGUUUUCUUUACCACAACAUACAGUAGUUAGUUAUUCAUUAUCCGUAUUUCAGUAUUUUAGUUUACAGUCUAUACCAGAAUGAUAUUUUAUGCAUUGUCAUGCAUUCUCAGAUUUGUACAGAUUUUAUGCGUUCAUUCUCAAUUACCUCAUGCUAUUCAGUCAGUUAUUAUCUUAUGCAAUAACCCAUACAUUUCUUCCUAACCUCAUCUUAUAUACUAGUACAUUCAAAGUAUUGACCGCAUACUCGUUUCUUGAACUAUUAUGUCUUAUAUCGUAGGUUUGAAUGCUUAGGUUUCUAACCAUACUUAGACAUUCCAGCACAGUAGAAACAGUAGAAACAGUAGCAGUGGUGAGUCCUCAUAUAUUGAGGACCGUUUAUGUUUAUCUCAGGCUUUUAUCUCAAUAGUCAGUCAGAGUUAGUUGGGGGUUUGUCCUAUUAACUUCAUAGUUAUUUAGAGGCUUUUUAGACUAUUUGAGAUAGUUAGUCAGUUGUUAUUAAUAGUUUUCCCAAUAUUGUUUUCAGACGCUUUCAAAACUAUGAUUUUUAAUCAUAUGUUUUAUUAUUUAAAACCUUAUGGUAUUUUGAUCUAAAUUCCGCACAUCUUACUUUGUUAUCUAUUUUAUUCAGUGCUCACAACAGGUACCAACUCAUGGGCUAGCUUAUGGUCUUUCAUGACCGUGAGCAUCGUGUAGCAUCCAGGGUGUAUUUCCGGGGCAUUACAAUAAUUAUCUACAUUUCUCUAUGCAACUCUUAUAUUUCAUUAUUUAGUUCAACAAUCUUCUAAAGAAUUGUCCAUGCCUUUAUUACUAUAGUCCUCACACUAAGAGAAUUAGUUUUAGUGAUAACUCUAAAGAAGUUUCUUUUCUUACAUUACCUUAAUACAUUAAGCAUAAUUGCAAUUUCUAUUUCCAUGUUUUUAGUGAUGCCUAUAGCUCUGGCUUCUUUAUAUAUUAGACUCCCUUUACUAUUUCUAAGAUAGAAUCCAUAAAAACUUUCCCCUGGAUUACAUCUACUAGUCUCAUGACCGGAGGCUAUCCCUUAUCGUGACAAUUGUGCUUAUGAUCAUAAGUGAUCAAAAGCUAACAUAUGAGCUGGUACCUGCUGUGAGCGCUGAAAUUAAUAAUAAUAACAACAACAUACGCAGAAGUUACUCUGAUAGGUACUGUAAAUCUAGAAUACUGAAAUAUGAAAUACUAAAUGUCUGAAACAACUGAUAAGACUAAAAGUAACUAACUAACUAACUGUCUAACUGGUUUGUUUGAAACCCUCUAAAAUGAUUAAGCAGUUGAUGGGACAAGCCCCCAACUAACUCCAAUUGAAUGAAAUAUAGAAGUACUAAAAGUGGUCGAAAAACUGUGCCUCUGAACCUAUCUCAUAAGAAAACAUAGAGGAUAGAAAAGUAUGCGGUCAGUACUUUGAAUGCACUGGUAUAUGAGAUGAGGGUUGGCUGAAACGUAUAAGAUAACUAGGCAUGAAUGCACGAGACAUGCAAUAUGUGAGAAUUCAAGACCAAGUAUAAACAUGAUACUGAAAUAAUCUGCAAAAUAGAAUGACUAAACUAUGUAUAACUGAAGAACUGGGAUUUUGUACACCUAGUCAAGCAAACCUGAACUAAGCUAUACUGAAUAAUAUAGUAAGACUAUGGGAGGUAUUAUCUAACUGACAUGCUCCAAUCUGAGCUAAUCUAGGUCUAACCUGUAACCCCAGUUAGAAGGGUGUCAGUACCGUGCCAUAGGUACUAACACUGGCUGCGUGUAUCCACUAAACUGUUGUCCCAAAAGACUAAGGAGUCACCCUCUACUGGAAGGUGUGUUCAUGAGAUAUGUGUCAACCCUCAACUGGCAUGAAGACAUCUCAAACCUACGCUAGUUACAUUGUUCAUGAACUCAGAGAUUGCUACUAAGAGUCACACCUUUUACUGGCAGGUGAGCCCCUAUCCCUGGGUUCGCUCGGUGCUAAAUCCUACUGCCAACUGAACUAACACUGAUACUAAACUGGACUAAAUUAAAUACAACAUACAACUGGCAUUGAUCAUAAUGGUCUGAUUAUAACAACUGACUAAAUAAUAAUACUUAUGGUUCAACUAAAAGCAUUUAUGAGAUAUUAAAAUUAUGUAAAACAACUAGGUAUUGGGUGUUCAUAACCCACCAGCACUGAACGAUUGUAAAAUACAAUAUCAAGCUUGAAAUAUUGUAGUAUGGGGUCACAAUUCAAAAACCUAAAACAUGGGCAUUUUAUCCAAACAUGUAGUAAACCAUAAGCUAAACAUAGAAAUACUUUGAACAUGAAGAAACAUCAUAGUUUCAUGGUUAAAUUCAUAAAUUGAGGAUUAAACAUGAAUUUCAAUUGAUAAUGACAUGAAAAUUGCAAUACAUAAAGCAUGAUAUGACUCAUCUUACUUGAGAACACUUGAAAUGAUAGCUUGAAAUUGAAUUUACAAGAGAUCCAUGGUUUUAUUUCAUCAAGAACAUGUAUAAACUCAUAUUUAAACACAAAGGAGGGUUUUGGGAUCCAUGGUGAAAGGAAUCCAUGGAUGAACAUCCGACAUACCUCACUAGAUGAAUUAUUGAAGGUUCCUUGAGGAUUUCUUGGACUUGAAGCUUGAACUUCUUGAUUUAUUCUGAAAGGGUUAGGGUUUAUUCUUGAGAUGAAAGAUGGUUUUCUUGAGAGAAUUUAUGAGUAAAAGGGAAAAUAAAGCUCCCUGGGACCCAAUCUCAUUCUAUGGAUGAAUUUAUUAUAGGGAAUUGAUAGAAAUACCCUUAAAUAACAAGGAACAAAUGUUGGGUGAAAAGGGAAGGGGCGUCGUGGGCUCUGGAGAGACGGUCUACCAUUAGAGAUGCCCUCCUUAGAGUAGGGGACUAACCCGGGUGGCGCCCGCUUUCAAGCAGCGGACUGGAGGUGGCAGCGCCUGCUUAUCCGGGUGGUGCUUCUGUUUUGGUUUUCCAAACAUGCCCUUAUGCUCGUCUGAAAAUUUUUAAACUCACUCCAGACAUACUUUGAACCACCCCGAUCAUGAAUCAACUCAAAAUUUGAUGUUCCAACAUUGAGAAGGUCAAAAGUAAAAUCAUUGAUGUUUAGGGGUCUUGGAAAUAAUUAAGUCCUCAACACUUAGUUAAGUUUCUAAUUCUUGGACCCUUUCAACAUGAAAUAGUGAGCUAAAUUGAGGUAGGAUCUUAUGGGGUAUUACAACUGGCCCCAUUACUGUUUCAAUUACCCAACCUAUCUCUGGAAAGUUCCACUACACUUGAUAAUAAUGUCACCUUGGUUUAUCACUUUACAGCCUUCCAAUUAUUCCCUCCCAGUGUUUUGGAAUGUCCAACCAAGAGAAUUUGACUUUUAUGAACUGGUAAAUAGUUGUUUGACUUUGAUAACAAAGUCUGUCAUAAUUAUAUACAUUAUCAUAUCUUCUUGCAUUCCUUUUCUUCUAUAAAUCCUACAUGAGAAUAGGAGGAAUAACCUUGAGAACUGUUUUAAUAUUUCUUGGACCUGAGGCAUUCCACCAUCUUGUGAUUAGUUAUUAGAGAUUAGCAUUGUCCACCUCUAUAGCUGCACAUGAAGCAAAUUGCUUUUAUAAAUUUUGAGCUACGGGAGCUGUUAGAAAAAGGUGAGACAUAGUAUCCUAUUUAAACUUCUCAUAAUAAUAACAUUUGGAAGCUAUUCUUAUUCCCAUUCUCCUAAGGUUAUCUUCAGUAGAAAUUCUUCUCUUCCAUAGCCUCCAGUGAAAGAAACUGAUUUUAAAAGGCAAUCCUAUUAUCCAAAUAUUAUUAAGCCAUUCCAGCUUCUUUCUCUUAGCCCUCAUGAUUGUAUAUGUUGAUUUAAUAGAAAAUCAACCACUCACAUCUUCCAAUCAUCAAGAUGUGUCAUUAGUAUCAGCCAUUAUAAUAGGACUGAUGUUUUUAAUAAUAUGAUCAUUUAAUUCCUCAGAUAUUGUAUUAAUUAGGUUUUGCCUAUCCCAUUCUCCAUUUCUUAGAAACUUUUUUACCUCUAACUAAUCUACCCCCCUGAUGUUAUUUUCCAGGAAACAUAGAACACCUAUUUUAGUCCAGUUAUCAAACUAGAAUCUUGAGUUUCCUGAUUUAAUUUGCCACUAGAUUUCAUGAUCCACUCCCCCCCCCCCCCCCCCUCUACUUAUCAUCUUUCUCUAUACUUGUGAGACACCUGACCCUCUAGCUAUUGUAGGGAAGAGUUUUUUAAAAUACUUAUUACACAUGAAUAAACUUCAUAUAGAUAAAUUUGAGACUCUAAAUUUCCACUAUAAUUUAGCAAACAAAGCUUUGACAUGUCAUGUAAGGAUAUCAAGCCAAUCCCACCUUCUUUUUGAGGAAAACACAAAUCCUCCCAACUAACCUUAUACUUGCCUUUAUCUCCACCUAAUUUUCUCCAGAAAAAUUUAGGAAAAGGUCUGAUACAACUGGUGUAUUACCUUCUUUGGAAGAUACAAUGCUGAUAGAAGUUAUAUUGACAUUAAUUACAGAACAUGGUUAAUUAAAACAAAUCUUUCACCAUAUGAUAAAAACUUAUUCUGGCAUGACAAGAUCAUUUUAGAAACUUUUCUUAAAGUAUCUUCAUAAUGAGAUUUGUUCUAUCUACGCUAGAAAACUGGGCAUCCCAAGUAUGUGAAUGGGAAAUUGCCCAUUUUAAUAGUUGUGAUUCUCCUUAACCCUAUUACAUUAGGGGUCUUUUCAUGAAUAUAGAAGAAACUUUUGUUCUUUUUAAUCAUAUGCCCUAAAAGUAGUUCAUACUCUCUAAGCACAUUUACCUUCUUUCUUAUUGAAGCCUUAUCCCCAAAACUUAAUAAAAUUGUAUCAUCUGCCUAUGAAAAAUGACCAAUUUAUGGACUCCACUUUGGCAAUCCAUAACUAUGAUAAUCCAUAUCGUUGUAUAAGAUGUUUAGUUCUCUAGACAACACUUCAGCAGUAAUAAUGAAAAGUGUUGGUGAUAAAGGAUCACCUUGUUUCAAUCCUCUUAAAGAAUGAAAUAGUCCAUGAGACUUUCCAUUAAUUAAUAGUAAAUACCAAUUAUCUAAAUCAAUCCUCCAUACCAUAUUAACAUGAUCUCUAUAAACCAAACUUAAUUAGAACCUUAGUAAGGAAGAUACAAGUAACUCUAUCAUAUGCUUUGGCCAGAUCCAAUUUCACCACCACAUUAUGAAAUUUGUUUCUCAUAUUUAUAUCCCUUAUGAUUUCUUGAGCUAGAAGAAUGUUUUUUCUAUGAUGCUUCUCCUUUUUACAAAUCUUGACUGAUUUUUUCAGAUAAUAUUUAGGAGAACAAUCACCAACUUUUCAUGCACACACCUUGAUAUAAUCUUCUUCACAAAAGUACUUAGGCUUAUAUGUCUUACAUCUCCAAAAUUCUUAGCAAACUCCUUCUUUGGUAUUAGUACUAGAUUAGUAUAGGUGAUGAAUCUUGGGAGCUGAUUACCACAAAAAUGCUUUAACCAUAUCAGUAAUAUCACUCCAAACUAUAUCCUAGCAUGACUGGAAGAAAAGGCCUGGGAAUCCAUCUGGUCCACUAGUGUUGUUACCAUUCAACUCAUAGAGAGCUUGCUUAACUUCCUCAUUUGCUGGUAAGGCAGUCAUGAACUCAUUUUGCUCUUCAGAAAUAAAUUUAGGAAUAUGAUUUAACAUACUAAAAUCCUCAGUUUUAACUUAUUUCCUAAAGUGUUCCGCUAAGAAGAAAACUUCUUUUUCUCAAAUAUUUUUAUUAAAAGUUACUAUGUCACCCUAUGCUGUUUGAAUUUCUAAAUUAUGAAGUUUAUUUCUCCUUUCUUUCACAUUAAAAUUAAAGAACUUGGUACUAUCCCUAUCCUUAAACCACCUCAUUCUAGCCUUUGGCUUCCAAUAAUACUCUUCAAUAUGCCUGAAUCUAAUUAAAUUUUCCUCUGCCAUACUCAGCUCAACUUUACUUUUUACUGAAGGAUAUAUCUUAAACUGUGCCUCCUUUUCCUUAAUAGCAUUCUCUAAUGUGUCAAUUUGUUGAAAUAUAUCUCUAAAAGUGUCCUUACUCCACUUGGCCAAUGCUGCUUUCACCUUUUUUUUGCUCGAUACAUUAAAAAAAGACUUCUAUAAAAAGUCUACCUUCAAAUUCUGCUCAACAAUCUCCUUAAAUUAUUUAUGUUUAGUCCAUAAGUUGAGAAAUUUGAAAGGCUUAACUAUUGGAUCCUCCUUUGAAUUUUACACCACAUGAGGUGCAUGAUCAGAUCCUUGUCUAAUUAGGUGAUGAACUUCACUUGAUGAUUGUAUAUUAAGAAAUUCCAGAUUCACUAGGACUCUAUCCAAUCUCUUAAAUAUACAAUCAUUCUCCACUCUUCCAUUUCACCAAGUAAAUUUACUACCCUUAAACUUCAAUUCUGUCAUCCAACAUUUAUUUAUAGGUUGAUUAAAAUCCAUAGACUCAUAUUAUGUUAAGGGUAAUCCACCCUAUUUUUUUGCUUCUUUAAGAAACACAUUGAAGUAACCCCAAUCACCUAUGGAAUUUGAUUAUUAUGGGCAAUAGCUUGUCUGUCAUUCUAUAACUCCAGCCUUUAUAGAGCAUUGCAUCUUGAAUAUACUAAAGUGAUCAUUACUUUUGUCAAGCUGCUACUCAACUUUACAAUGAUUUGCUGAAUAGAAUUUGAGAUAAUUUGACCUUUCAUCUAUCAUCCAAAAAGACCAAUAUCUUGGAUGUAAAACUACUAACAACCUUUUCAAUCCCUAACCUUGUUUUAUACUAUUUUAACUCUUCAAGGCCUUGAGAAGGUUCUAUUAGAGCUAUUAAUGAGUAGCGAUGUCUUAUAUUUAGAUCAAUUAACCUUACAAAAGUAUUUUGAGAAUUAACUGAUCUUAUGUUCCAGAAUAUUAUUUUUUCACUCAUUGAUCACUAUUUGAUAAUUUGUCUUUACUGCUCCUAAAGAGGUAUUGAAGGUUACUUUCUUUUAAUACCACUUCUCAAUUUGCUUAUUGAUCUUGGGGAUAAAUCCCUUUAUCUUUAAAUUUGAUUAAUCUUUUUGUCCAUAUCUUCAUCUUCCUCAUUAUCCUACAUGUUUUGUAUUUCUUCGAAGUCUGGGUCUCUAAUAUAAACAAUUUCCUUACCAUCCUAUUCCUUAGCUAGAGUAUUACUUAAGUUUCCAUCUUUAGUUCUACCUUUAGAACUCUGAGAAUCUUCGUCCCCAUUUUGUCACUCUCUUUAUUUGUACUACCAGAAUCAGUUAAACUUUCAUUUGCACCUUCUUUUUGUUUAUCUGAUGGUGAUUCAUUUCUUGGUGUAACCUCCUCUGAAUUCUUCUGUGGUGUACUUUUGUUUUUUGUAUCUUUGAAAGUAUCCUAUAACCAUUCCUUUGUUGAAGGCCCGUGUUCUUUGUCUGAUGUUGUAUUCCUUGAUCUGUCUCCUUGUUCUCUUCUUCAUCAUUAUUUAGAGCCUCCAACUGAUUUAUAGUCUUUAAAUUUGUAGGAUUCUGUUGUGUUUGCUUCCUAUUCUAGACAUGCUCUUGCCUCUAUCUCCCUUGAUAACUUUCCUUUCCUCCGUAUGUUUUGUCUCUGUUCUUUGCAUUAUUCCUUCUCCUUUUUUCUAUUUUUAUUCUGAUGCUCUUUUUGAGAUCGCUUUUCUUUUCCUUCUAUUGCAUUUUCAAUUUUCUCCUGUGUUACACCCUUCUUCUUUUCUUUGUCCUCUCCUACUUCAUUCUCUACCUUAUUUGUGUAUAAUUCAAGAUGAAUCGCAUAACAUUGUUGUUCAUUAUGCUCCUGGAUCAUGCAUGUAUUACAAUAUUUAGGUACAUAAUCAUAUUUUGUUCUAACCCACUUUUCACAUAUCUCUUCUGAUUGUUUUCUCAAACCUACAUUAAUCCUUUUACAAAAUUUGCUUAGAAGAUCCACUUCUACCUUUACUCUGGCACAACUUAGCCUUGUUUUAUUUCUUAUUGCCAUGUCAACUUGUAAUGGCUUUCCAACCAUUGUUACUAAUGAAAAGACCACUUCCUUCCCAAAAAAUGGGUGGUAAGGCUGGAAAAGAGAUCCAAGUAAUAGCCAUGGUUAUUUGCACUUCAGGGUUAAACAAUGGAUAGCUCUUCAAUGUACUUAUUGAAUACGUCCAUCCCCUAUGCAUUAUGUAAAAUUUAGGCUUGGAUAGUAGGUUUACAUAAUCAUCUAAUAUGGAAGCUCGUAUUAACAUAUGUCUGUUGUUCAAUAAUCCAAUAUUGCAUUCCCCCUUCAAUUUACAUUGUCUAGGUAUUAAAUGACAUAAAUCAUGGAUUUCCGGCUAUCCAUAAAAAAACUUUUAUGUAACUGCAUACAGAAGAUUCUCAUUGAUGAUUAUCUGAUCUACUUUUUCUUCUUUCCAUAUGACUCUCGGUUCUUCAUGCAAAUAACUAACAGGAUUUAAAGGGAUCGGUUUCAUUGUAUUUGGCUUAGGCUAUAAUAUUGUUGCAUAAUUAAGGUGAUUCAUCAUUUGUGUGAGUUCGGUCAACCGUGGACAGUGGUUGAUCGACUGAAUUGGUGUCCAUUGCCACCGUAAAGGUAGGCAAACUUAGGGUAUUAUAGUGGGUAGGGUUUUAUUUGUUAGAGCACUUUUUAACGUUGCCUUUUUCGUCUGUGGGAUACAUGUGUUCGUUACUCACUUUGAGGCUCUAACUUUUUUUUAACGGGGGUAGGGGAAGGGGAAAUGGAGAGUGAAUUUUCAAUAUGGGGAAUCCUGAGAAUUACUGAUUUCAAUUGAUUUAGUUUUUUCGUCCUGUAGUAUAACUAUUAUCAGAACUCAUCCAACUAGAUGACAAACAACACAAGGAUUUAACGAGGUUCGUCUACGACUAAUCUCCAAGAAAAACCACAGAAAGUUUUUCAUUAUGAAAGAAAACAAGAAGUGUACAAUGCUUAAAAAUAUCCAACUGCAUUCCUUAUUUAUAGAUCCCAAGUAGUCCUAAACCUGUAAGAAAAAGGUUCUCUCAAUCCUAAAAGUAGAAUCUAUUCCAGUCUUAAAUCUAUUAGGACAAAGGGUUUCCUAAACAAUUAGGGAUUAUGGAAAAAUUCAAGACAUAAUUAACAAAUUAUUUGAUACCCUAGGUUCGACAGGAAGACUAUGGGGAUGUGGUAAAGUGAUGGAGUGCGGGGCUCGAUUUACUUACUCUUACGAUCUUAAAGAUACACGCAUAAGAAGCUAGUUGCAGGAUUUGAUUCCAUUAAAAUACUUAGAUGAGGUAGGUGGCACACAACAAAUUAGAGUAACCUGUGGAUCAUGGUAAUAGGACAUAUGAAACUUAUUUUGAGGAGGAGAUUGUUGAGUAUCUCGGUGACCCAUGGAUAGUGGUAAUGAGUGAUGUGAAACUUAGUUCGAAGGGGAGAUAACCUCACAUAAUUGUCUCAGAAGAAAAAGAGGGUCACACAAGUGACACCACAAUAUUUGUGUCUCACAAAUUCUCCCUCUAAACAAUACUCUUAAAUCCCUAGGACUAUAUUAUGGAUCCUACCUUGCAAAAAGAAAGGAGUUUCUAUUUAUAGAGCCUAUAACAUUUUCUUAAAAGACCAAGGAUUGGCCAAUUAUGGAGAAUAUAUUUUUCUUUCUAUAAAGGAAAACAAAAUUAUGGAACCUAAAGGAAAACCCAAUUAUGGUAAUAAAUCCAGGACAAACACUCAACAAUUCACCCUUUAACCUAAAUUUUUGACAAAAUAAAUUUGUGCCACUUUCCUUAUGUACUCUCCAACAAGUUCAAUUUCCAUCACCAAAAUCUCCUUCCAUAAAUCUGUGUCUCUUCAUGUACUAACACACUAAUAAUAUUUCUCAAACCAAAAUCAUCAACCAGCUCAAAGUUACUCUUACACAGUGUGAUAUUGUCCGCUCUAGGCGAAGACUGCAUCAUUUUUACUAAAAGGAUUCACACUAUUGAGAGAUCCUACACCUUAAAUGUAGAUUCUCAAUCUUUUUCAGCUAUCAAUGUGUGACUUUUCUUUGAACACCCAAAACCUAAUUUACCUCUAAAAUACAAAAUUUGAAUGAUAAAUACAUUUAAGAACAAAAAGAGUUACUUUGUACAUGCAUCUUUCAUUGCAUUGGUGGGAGAACAGGGAUGUAGAAAGUUGUAAUGCCCCGAGACUAUACCCUAGGCGUCACACGGUUCUUACAAUCCCAAAGUACUAUAAGCUAACCUAUGACUGGUUCCUGCUGUGAGCACUAAAAAUAAUAUGGGAAUAUAUAUGUGGAAAAAAAUUGAAAAUGCCAUAAGGUUUUCAAAAUACUAAAUUAUUAACUAAGUAUAACUGAUAAUAACAUUUGAAAACGGAAUAACUAUGCUAGUUUGAAAGACUCUAACUGUAUGAAUAUGUAGUUGAUGGGACAAACCCUGAACUAACUCCAACUAAAAUAACUACUGAACUGCUGAAAUACUGAAAUAAGUAAUCUCUAUCCGCAAAAUAUGAGGACGUACUAUUAUAACUACUGCUGAUAUCCUGAGCUGCUAAGUACAGUAAAGAACCUGAGUAACUGAACCUAUGAUAUGAGAUAUCAUAAUGAAAAAGAGAGUAUGUGUCAGUAUGUGGAAUAUACUGGUAUGCUAAGUGAGGUAAGGCUGAUAUACAUGCUUUCAUAUGUAUGAGAUUGAUAGCUAACUGAAUGAACAUCAUGAAGUAACUAGAUAAGAGUAUAUGCAAAAUUGUAACUACUGAACAUACUAAACAUAUAAUACUGUGCAUAUCAGUAUACCCCGUGUAUCUGAGAUUAUACCUAAAGCUGAGUACAAAAUUCUGAUGGCUGAGUAAUUGAUAACUGAUAGCCAGGGUUUUGUAGAACUGAAUGAGUUCUUUACUUAAUACUGAGACUAAAACUGUAACUAUAGGAGUGUUCAUCUAACCAACAUAGCCCGAUGUAGACUGAUUUAGAGUCCAACCUGUGACCACAGUUGGAAGGGUGGUAGCACCUUGCUAUGGGUUACUAAAAUGUUGUGUCAACCCUAAUCUGGCAGGAAGACUCAUGCUAUAUAUAUAUGAUAGCGUCAACCCUAGUCUGGCAGGAGGAUGACUUAACCUACACUAGCUACGUAGUUUUGUAAUGCAGGGACUGCUACUAAGGGUCAAACCAUCUGCUAUAAGGAACGUCCCCAUCCCUGGGUUAGCUCAGUGCUGAAUCCAACUCCUAACUAAAUAGACACUGAACUGAUCUCUAGACUAUACUAGGAUUGACUGAACUUACACUGAUCGUGUUAACUAACUGUACUGGACUGAGUUCACUGAGUUUUGUUAGCUGACUGAGUACUACUAUUCUAGACCUUCACUGGGACUAUUCUAUAACUACUGCAACUAAGUAAACAACUAGAUUUUGGGUAAUAAAAACCCCCAGGACUUGAUAGCAUAAUAGAUAAACUCAUACAUAAUAGAUAAACUCAUACCACAACUUUAGGAACACAACAAUAAGCUACCAUGCAUAAUUUAUUCAUAUGGACAUUUUAUAAAACACUUGGGGAGCAAUGCACAUCAUAAUGAACAACACAUAAGCAUCAUGACUACAACUUAAACUUGCAAGUUUAAGGAUUUUAACAUGGGAAUUAGAUCAAUCAACAUAGAUGCUGUCUUAUGUUCAUGAAAAUUAUAAUUAAAUCUUGAAUUGAGACGCAUACAACAACAGAAACAUGAAUACAACCCAAUUUGUACAUGUAAAUAAUGAAACUAAAAAUGUUUAGUUUUAAAAUGGGUUCUUGAACUCCAAGGGUGGAAGGAAACCCAAGGAUGAACUUCUAACAUUCCUUGAUUGUUGAUUUCGUGAAAAUUGUGGUGAAUUACUAGGAUUCGGACUUGAACUUGAUGAAACUAGGUCUUUGUAAUUGUAACACCCCGAUUCACUAAACCGGAAUGCUACACGGUGCUCAUGACACCGAGGAACCAUAAUCUAACCCAUGACUGAUAUCUGCACCUGUAUACUACAAAUCAUCAUAUAAUAAUGCGGAGUACAUAGAACUAUAAGGCCAUAAGGUUCAACUAAAUACAAUCAUGUGGGUGAAAAUACCCAAAACAACUCAAUUUGAACGUAAAUCUGAACAUAAAUCUGAAAGCCUCUAAACUAUCUGAAUAAGGAUUUAAAGGAACAUGUCUCCAACUAACUCCGUAAAACUGAACUGAAGAAAUAAAUAAAUGGAUCAAAUAAUAUUGUCCUCGAAUUAAUGAGGAAUCACUGUGUCUUUGCGAUUGGAAUGCUACCGCUACUGCUUGGCUGGAGCUCAUGUCUCAGAACCUAUGGUGUAACAUGAAAAGAAAGAACCAUAGCACAAAUGCGUCAGAACAAAUGGAGUACUGAGUAUACGAGGAAGGUAGGCUGAACAUAAAGAGUUUCAUGCAUGAACAACACUGACUGCCUAAUAUGAACGUGGAGUGCAAACACACAUAUAUAGAAAUUGGGACCGUGAAUAUGUGAUAGCAUGACCUGUAAGCUAAUACAUGGUUUACUGAUAACUGUCAUGACUGAUACUGAAACUGAUAACAUGGACGAUUGUAUCUAACAGUCCUGUAUAUAUAAAAAUCUGAAGAAUACCCCGAGUUCUUUUACUGAGACUGAUACUGAAACUGCGGGAAGUAGUAUUUAACCGACAUGCCCCAUAUAUGCCAUUAUGGCUAAUCUGGGGUCUAAUCCCUGCCCCGACUGGAGGGGUGUCAAUACUGUGCCACGGGUAAGGACAGCUUGUGAGUGACCUUUAUCUGGUGGGUACUCAAUGAGAACGGUAGGAACCCUGAACUAACGGGUUAAGCCACCUCAUCAAUCCUAAUCUAAUGGGUUAAGAUGUCUCAACCUACACUGGCUACAUAGUUCUGGAACACAAGGAUGACUACUAAGAAUCACACCCUGAACUGGCGGGUGAGUUCCCAUCCUUGGGUUCACUCCGUGGUAACCUCUACUCCCAUCUGGAGGGACUAGACAUGAAUAACUGACUGUGCAUGACUUAAUCUUACUGAAUUCCGUUGACUAGUAGAAUGUUACUGAUAUCUUAUAACUGACUAAGAUCAUGAGGUUUUCCUGAGUCAAGAUAUCGUGAAACAUGACAUGGAUCUAGGCACAUAGCUAUAGUUUUUAGGUACAAGUACCCCCAGGACUUGAUGGAAGGAAACUGACACACAUGACUGACUUGAUCAUAAGAGUAGAGUCCAUAAUUUAUAAUAUCAUAAGUAGGGAUCUCAUACUAAGCAUGGUUAUCAACAAUGUAUUGAAUGGAAAGGAUUUCAUAUCACAUGAAAGUACUUGCACAAUCUUAAUAUCAUGUUCAUUACAUAAUCAUAUUGGGAACAACUACCAAUAACAUUACAUAAUCAUAUUGGGAACAAAUACCAAUAACAUUACAUAAUCAUAUUGGGAAAAAAGACCAAUAACAUAAAAGUUCCUGUGGAUUGCAUAGUUAUCAUACAUCUUGUUCAUAAGUAGGAUUUGCAAGUAACAUAGCAUAAUCUAAUAAGAAAACUUCAUGACAACAUUUACAAGACACAUUAUCAACAUAAAAGUCAUUAGAACAUAAGCGUAUAUCAUGAAUCCUUCACUUUGUCACAAUUUAGCUAUAUUGCAUGAUUUCUAGUUUCUUAGACAUUUUAUCAAAUACCUUUCAUGCACAUCUUAAUCAUAGGUGAAAUCAUCAAGUUAUACAUCAUGAACAACCAAAUUUACAUGUUUCCAACUCAUAUGAUAUGAUGAAUUCACAAAAACAUAUAAAGAUUCCAUCUUGGGAAUCACCCAAUAUCAACAACAUGAUCAUCAACACCCAAAAAUAUUGAAAUCAUACAUUAUAAUGAAAAAGAGGGUUUUUGAGCUUUAUGGAUGAAAGGGAUCCAUAAAUUAAUUCACGCAUACCUUAGAAGGAAAGAUUCUUUAUGAUUGAUGGACGAAUUUCCUCCAAAUUAGAUCUUCAAGCUUAGUUAUACAACCCUAGUUGUUUUUCUCUUUUAGUGCUCUUGGAUGUUGAGCUUUGAGAUGAUAAUAGGGUUGUAAUAUGUUUAGAAGCUAUAUAUUUCGUAGGGUUAAGUUUAGGGACGUGUAAGGAGUGUUUAAAGACUUAAUUACCUUUAAAAUAACUCAAAACGGAGUGUUUCUAACACCUGGAAUUGAUUUAGGCAGCUCCCAAGUGAUAGCCUAUGCUUGGGUUGGGCGGCGCCUAACCAAUCGCCUAUGCUUACUGUCUCUCAUGAAAAUGGGCAUAACGUUUCCCUCGGGUAUCCAAUUAAGGAGAAAUUGGUAUCGUUGGAAAGCUAAUUAGAUUCUCUACAAUUUGGUGGGUCUAAAUCAGCCAAAAUACCGCAUUAGCAUCGAGUUAUACUUCUUCAAAGAUGAUCCUUGCAAAAUUGAACACUAAAACUUCAUGGAUUCAAAAACUCUUAGCUUGUAUUACCUUAAGUGACUCAUAUGAACAUGCUUAAUGCAUCAUAAGCUAUCCUAUCACUAGGAUAUUCAUUGUAAGUCAUGUACUCAAGUAUGAGUCACAGGAUAGGAGAUUUCAUACGUAGGAAUACUUAUUCACUUCCUAGCUUAGAAACAUGCAGGGUAUUACAAAAUCUCCCCCUUGGGAACAUUCGACCUCGUAUGAGAAUUUACUUAGAAGGGACACAAGAUAUAGAACCUAAACUUAAUAUGAAGAACUGAAACUUGAUCUCAUGACUGACAUGCUAAACAUACUUAACUCGUGCAUAUCUGAUGCACGUGCAACUGACACAUGAAUGCAUGACCGAGUAUGAAACGGUUGAUAGGUACUAAGUUUAUACUGGAAACAUGAACGUGAAACUGAAUAAGAUUAAGGAGAACUAUUACCUUGAGCUUGAUCUGAAUUGGUGGGGAAGAGGUGAGGAUACUUGGUACGCAUAUCUGCUUCUUCUUCCCAAGUAGCUCCCUCAUGAGACUGAUUUCACCAAACAACCUUGACUAGAGGGACUUCUUUGUCCCUCAAUCUACGAGUUUGAUAAUCUAAGAUUUCGACUGGAAUCUCUUCAUAGGAGAGGCUGUUUUGAAUGUCGAUGCUUUGAAUAGGAACAACAAUUGGUGGGUUACCUAAGCACUUCUUUAGCAAUGAGACAUGGAAGACUAGAUGGACUAAGGCUAGAUCUGAAGGCAAGUCAUGCUCAUAAGCUACCUUGCUGAAGCGAUAAAGAAUUCUGAAGGGACCGACAUAUUGGGGACUGAGUUUCCCUUUCUUGACGAACCUCUUCACUCCCUUCAUGGUAGAGAUCUCAAGAUAGACAUAGUCAUUGACCACAAACUCGAGAUCCUUUCUACGAACAUUUGCGUAGGACUUUUAUAAGCUUUGAGUAGCCCCGAGUCUCUCUCUGAUCAACUAAACAUUCUCUAAGGCAUUGAAUACUAAGUCAGGACCUAUGAUUAAGGCCUCACUAACUUUGAACUAACCAAUUAUAGAUCUACAUCUCCUACCAUAAAGAGCUUCAAAUGGAGCCAUCUGAAUACUAGAAUGAUAGCUAUUGUUGUAUGCAAACUCAAUCAAAGGCAAGUGGCCAUCCCAAAUUCCCUUGAAGUCAAUUGCAUACGCCCUUAGCAUAUCUUCAAGAGUCUGAAUGGUCCUCUCUGCUUGACCAUCUAUUUGAGGAUGAAAUGCUAUGCUGAGAUGGACUUGGGUACCGCGACCCUUUUGGAAAGCUUUCCAAAAGUAAGAAUUAAACUGGGUACCUCUGUCUGAGAUGAUAGAUAGUGGAACACCGUGUUAUCUAAAUAACUCCCUGAUAUAGUGUUUGGCAUAAUCCUUGGCAGAAUAAGAAGUAUGAACAGGAAGGAAAUAAGCUGACUUGAUCAUUCUAUCUAUAAUGACCCAGACUGAAUCAUACUGAUGAUGAGUUUUAGGCAAACCCAUCACGAAGUCCUUGUUAACUUCAUCCCACUUCCAAGUAGGAAUGGUGAACUCUUGCAUGGAACCACUAGGUUUCUGAUGUUCUAUCUUAACCUGCUGACAUGUAGAUCACUUAGCCACAAACUCUACAAUAUCUCUUUUCAUCCCACUCCACCAAUAGAUCUCCUGCAUGUCGCGGUAUAUCUUAGUGGCCCCUGGAUGAAUAGAGUAUCGGGCACCAUGUGCUUCUGCAAGAAUUCGCAACCUUAAUUCAUCUACACCUGGAACACAUAGACGACCCUGACAAUGAACAACACCAUCUCUCCCUUGGGAGAAAACCUCAUCUUUCUAUUUCUUAACUAACUCUUUGAGCUUGAAAAGGCUAGGAUCCUUGUCUUGUUUCUCUUUCAACUUGGAAACUAGAGAUAACUCUGAAAUACUAUGAACACAUACUCUACCCUCUAAGAAUCGACUAAGUGAACGCCUAGUUUGGCAAGCUAAUGGAUGUUCUAAGCUAUCUUUUUCUUACUAUCCUCAACGUGAGAAAUACUACCCAUAGAGAGUCGACUAAGAGUGUAGGCCACAACAUUGGCUUUGCCUGGAUGAUAAAGAACACUCAUGUCAUAUUCCUUCAGGAGAUCUAACCACCUUCUCUAGCGAAGAUUGAGAUUUUUCUAGGAAAAGACAUAUUGGAGGCUUUUAUAGUCUGUGAAGACAUCUACAUGAACUCCCUACAGAUAAUGCCUCCAAAUCUUUUUAAGGCAAAAACUACCGCUGCUAACUCAAGAUCAUGAGUAGGAUAAUUCUUCUCAUGUGGCUUUAAAUGUCUGGAGGCGUAGGCUAUAACCUUACCAUGCUACAUAAAAACACAACCUAAACCCACUCUGGAUUCAUUACAAUAGACUACAAAACCGUCUGAACCAUCUGGAAUAGCAAGAACUGGAGCGGAGGUGAGUCGAGUCUUCAACUCUUGAAAGCGCUUCUCGCAUGAAUCUGACCAAUAAAACUUAAUCUUUUUCUGAGUCAAUCUGGACAUCGGAGAUGCAAUAGAAGAAAAUCCCUCAAUAAACCAUCUGUAAUAGCUAGCCAAACCCAAGAAACUCCUAAUAUCUGAUAGAGAUACAGGUCUAGGCCAGUUUCUUACUUCAUUUGUUUUCUAAGAAUCUACUCUAAUGCCAUCACCGGAAACAAUAUGGCAAGGAAUGCUACUGAUCUUAGCCAAAAUUCGCACUUGAUGAACUUAGCAAAUAACUGGUGAUCCCUGAGAGUCUGAAGAACAAUCCUAAAAUGGUCUGCAUUAUCACUCUCUGUGCGAGAAUAGACAAGAAUAUCAUCUAUAAAGACUAUGACAAACAUGUCCAAGUACUGCUUGAACACACGGUUUAUCAAGUACAUAAAAGCUGCAGGGGCAUUGGUAAGAUCAAAUGACAUGACUAAAAAUUCUAAGUGACCAUACCAGUACGAAAAGCUAUCUUUGGAAUGUCACUUUCUCAAACUCUGAGCUGAUGAUAGCCUGAUCUGAGGUCUAUCUUUGAGAAGUAAGUGGCACCCUGAAGUUGGUCGAAUAGAGCAUCAAUCCUGGGAAGAGGAUAUCUAUUCUUGACCAUGACCUUGUUGAGUUGACGUUAAUCAAUACAUAUCCUGAGAGAACCAUCUUUCUUGAGCAAGAAUAAUACUGGCGAACCCCAUGGGGAAACGCUGGGUCUGAUGAAUCCCUUAUCUAAGAUAUCCUUCAAUUGAUCUUUCAGUUCCUUGAGUUCUACUGGUGCCAUUCUGUAUGGCGUAAUAGAAAUAGGUUGAGUAUCCGGAAGAAGGUCUAUGCCGAAAUCUAUUUCCCUUUUGGGAGGAAUUCUUAGAAGAUCUUCGAGAAAGACAUCUGAGAAUUCAUUAACAAUAGGGACUACUUUAAGGCUGGGAUUUUCAGAACUAAAAUUUUUAACAUGCACGAGAUGAUACACACACCCCUUAGAAAUUAUUUUCCUUGCCCGAAGGUAGGAAACAAGAAGACCCCUGAAUGAUGAAAUGCUACCCUUCCACUCUAGGACGGGCUCAUUCGGGAACUGAAACUGAACUAUCCUAUUUCUGCAGGUUACUGUGGCAUAGCAGGAAUUAUAGUAGGAAUAAAGCCAAUCCAUGUCGAGAAUGACAUCAAAAUCAUUCAUCUUUAACUCCACUAAAUCUGCUAUCGUGGAUUUCUGAGAUAUCAUAACCGGGCAGUUCCUGUAUACCCGCCGAGCUAUGAUGGUUUUACCCACUGGGGUAGAGACUGAGAAGGGCUCUGCUAGGACUUCAAGAAUGAUUUUGAUAUUAGCUGCUAUGUAUGGAGCAAUAAAAGACAAAGAUACACCUGGGUAUAGCAAAGCAUAAACAUGAACAUGGAAAAUCUUUAACAUACCAGUAACGACAUCAGGAGAAUUUUCUUGAUCAUGUUACGACUGAAGACAUAGAGUCUGUUUUGGCGUUGCCCACUGGUAGCACUAGAAAUGGCACCCUGCUGGUUCGGGUGACUAGAAAAAGCUGUAGAAUGAUUUUGCUAACCCUGAAUACUUGACUGCAGACAAUCCCUAAUCCUGUGGCCUGGCUUACGAUAGCCAAAAUAGACAUCACUACCGGCUCUGCAAAUGCCCUUGUGGUUCUUGCCAUAAGUCUGACAAAGGAAAUUCGUUUGGGCACUGCUAACACUGUCCUGAGAUUUAGAGCCUGGCACUUUGUUUCUAUUUCCAUCUCUGAACUUCGGCACUGGAGCGUUGGCGGAGGAAGGAGAUGGAAUGGCGGACUUAGAGCGAAACUGUAAACGGUUUCCUCUAUUUAACUUGGGGUGAGGAAAGUUAAAAUUACCUGACCUUGCUCUCUUGUUCUUCCUCUCCCUAGUCUUAAAUUUCUCCUCUUCUACAUACUGGGCAUUAGUCAUGAGUCUUUCUAAGGUCAUAUGACCGAUCAAUAUUGCAGAACUACACUCAUUUACCAUGCUAUCAUCGACCGCUGACACGAACUUGCUCAUCUUAGCUCUAUUGUCUGCAAUCCCAUGAGGAGCAUACCUAGCAAGCUGAGUAAAUCUGAGAGAAUAUUCUCAAACUGUCAUAUUCCCCUGCAUGAGGUUGAUGAACUCAAGAACGUUGGCUUCACUUAGCUCUUGGGGAAAGAAUUUGUCUAAUAGAUUGCACAGUAAGGAUGAACACAAUGCUAGAAUCUGAAUAAAUGCAUCAAUACUCCAUCAAAAAGAUGUACAUUAUCAUGAGGGCUGAUUUCCAGAAAGUUCCUUGGUGCAGGAUCAUUUAUAAAUAAAUGCGGGCAGCUGAAUGGAUCUUCAUCACAAGAUUAGCUAACUUGAAUAGAUUGCACAGUAAGGAUGGACACAGUGCAAGAAGCUGAACGAAUACAUUAAUACUCCAUCAAAAAGCUGUACAUUGUAAUGAGGGCUGAUUUCCAGAAAGUUCGUUGGAGCAAUAUCAUUUGUAACUACACGCGGACAGCUUAAUGGAUCUUCAUCGCAAGAUUAGCUAUCCUGAAUAGAUUACACAGCAAGGAUGCACACAGUGCAAGAAGCUGAAUAAAUGCAUCAAUGCUCCACCAAAAAGCUUUACAUUGUAAUGAGGGGUGAUUUCCACAAAGUUCCUUGGUGCAGGAUCAUUUGUAAAUACACGCGGGCAGCUGAAUGGAUCUUCAUCACAAGAUUAGCAAUCUUGAAUAGAUUGCAUAGUAAGGAUGGACACAGAGCAAGAAGCUGAAUGAAUGCAUUAAUACUCCAUCAAAAAGUGGUACACUGUAAUGAGGGCUGAUUUCCAGAAAGUUCCAUCGAGCAGUAUCAUUUGUAACUACAUGCGGAUAGCUAAAUAGAUCUUCAUCACAAGAUUAGCUAUCCUGAAUAGAUUACACAGUAAGGAUGGACACAGUGUAACAAGCUGAAUGAAUGCAUCAAUGCUCCACCAAAAAGCUGUACAUUGUAAUGAGGGGUGAUUUCCACAAAGUUCCUUGGAGCAGGAUAAUUUGUAAAUACACACGGGAAACUGAAUGGAUCUUCAUCACAAGAUUAGUUUUUUUUAAUAGAUUACACAGUAAGGAUGGACACAGUGUAAGAAGUUGAAUGAAUGCAUCAAUACUCCAUCAAAAAGCUGUACAUUAUAAUGAGGGCUGAUUUCCAGAAUGUUCCUUGGAGCAGUAUGAUUUGUAACUACACGCGGACAACAGAAUAUAUCUUCAUCACAAGAUCAGCUAUCCUGAAUAGAUUGCACAGUAAGGAUGGACACAGUGAAAGAAGCUAAAUGAAUGCAUCAAUAAUCCAUCAAAAAGCUGUACAUUGUAAUGAUGGCUGAUUUCCAGAAAGUUCCUUAGAGCAGGAUCAUAUAUAAAUACACGCGGGUAGCUAAAUGGAUCUUCAUCACAAGAUUAGCUAUCUUGAAUAGAUUCCACAGUAAGGAUGGACACAGUGCGAGAUUCUAAAUGAAUGCAUCAAUACUCCAUCAAAAAGCUAUACAUUGUAAUGAGUGUUGAUUUCCAAAAAGUUCCUUGGAGCAGUAUCAUUUGUAACUAAACCCGGACAGCUGAAUGGAUCUUCAUCACAAGAUUAACUAUCCUGAAUAUAUUGCACAGUAAGGAUGGACACUGUGCAAGAAGCUGAAUGAAUGCAUCAAUGCUCCACCAAAAAGCUGUACAUUAUAAUGAGGGUUGAUUUCCAGAAAGUUCCUUGGAGCAGUAUCAUUUGUAACUACACGCGGAUAGCUGAAUGGAUCUUCAUCACAAGAUUAGCUAUCCUAAAUAGAUUGCACAGUAAGGAUGGACACAGUGCAAGGAGCAGAAUGAAUGCAUUAAUACUCCAUCACAAAGUUGUACAUUGUAAUGAAGGUUGAUUUCCAAAAAGUUCCUUGGAGCAGUAUCAUUUGUAACUACACGCGGACAGCUGAAUGGAUCUUCAUAACAAGAUUAGCUAUUUUGAAUUGAUUGCACAAUAAGGAUGGACACAGUGCAAGAAGUUGAAUGAAUACAUCAAUACUACAUCAAAAAGUUGUACAUUGUAAUGAGGGGUAAUUUUCAGAAAGUUUCUUGGAGCAAGAUCAUUUGUAACUAUACGUGGACAGCUGAAUGGAUCUUCAUCAUAAGAUUAGCUAUCCUGAAUAUAUUGCACAGUAAGGAUGGACACAGUGCAAGAAGCUAAAUGACUGCAUUAAUGCUCUUCCAGAAAGCUGUACAUUGUAAUGAGGGGUGAUUUCCAAAAACAUUCUAAGAUCAGGAUCAUUUAUAAAUACAUACGGGCAGCUAAAUGGAUCUUCAUCACAAGAUUAGAUAUCUUGAAUAGAUUGUACAGUAAGGAUGGACACAGUGCAAGAAGCUGAAUGAAUGCAUCAAUACUCCAUCAAAAAGCUGUACAUUGUAAUGAGGGUUGAUUUCCAGAAAGUUCCUUGGAGCUGUAUCAUUUGUAACUACACACGGACAGCUGAAUGGAUCUUUAUCACAAGAUUACCUAUCUUGAAUAGAUUGCACAGCAAGGAUGGACACAGUGGAAGAAGCUGAAUGAAUGCAUCAAUGCUCCACCAAAAAGCUGUACAUUGUAAUGAGGGGUGAUUUCCAGAAAGUUCCUUGGAGAAGGAUCAUUUGUAAAUACACGCGGGUAGCUGAAUGGAUCUUCAUCACAAGAUUAGCUAUCUUGAAUAGAUUGCCCAAUCAGGAUGGACACAGUGCAAGAAGCUAAAUGAAUGCAUUAAUACUCCAUCAAAAGGUUGUACAUUGUGAUGAGUGCUGAUUUCCAAAAAGUUCCUUGGAGCAGUAUCAAUUGUAAUUACACACGGAUAGCUGAAUGGAUCUUCAUAAUAAGAUUAGCUAUCGUGAAUAGAUUGUACAGUAAGGAUGGACAGAGUUCAAGAAGUUGAAUGAAUGCAUCAAUGCUCCACCAAAAAGCUGUACGUUGUAAUGAGGGGUGAUUUCCCGAAAGUUCCUUGGAGCAGGAUCAUUUGUAAAUACACGCGGGUAGCUGAAUGGAUCUUCAUCACAAGAUUAGCUUUCUUGAAUAGAUUGCACAAUAAGGAUGGACACAGUGCAAGUAGCUAAAUGAAUACAUCAAUAGUCCAUCAAAAAGCUGUACAUUGUAAUGAGUGCUGAUUUUCAAAAAGUUCCUUAGAGCAGUAUCAUUUGUAACUACACGCAGACCGCUGAAUGGAUCUUCAUCACAAGAUUAGCUAUCCUGAAUAGAUUGCACAGUAAGGAUGGACACAGUGUAAGAAGCUGAAUGAAUGCAUCAAUGCUUCCCCAAAAAGCUGUACAUUGUAAUAAGGGCUGAUUUCCAGAAAGUUCCUUACAGCGAUAUCAUUUGUAACUACACCUGGACAGCUGAAUGGAUCUUCAUCACUAGAUUCGCUAUCCUGAAUAGAUUGCACAGUAAGGAUGGACAAACUGAAAGAAGCAGAAUGAAUGUAUCAAUGCUCCACCCAAAAGCUAUACAUUGUAAUGAGCGGUGAUUUCCAGAACUUCCUUGGAGUAGGAUCAUUUGUAAAUACACGUGGGCAGCAGAAUGGAUCUUCAUCACAAGAUUAGCUAUCUUAAAACGAUUGCUCAGUAAGGAUGGACACAGUGCAAGAAGCUGAACGAAUACAUUAAUACUCCAUCAAAAAGCUGUACAUUGUAAUGAGGGCUGAUUUCCAGAAAGUUUGUUGGAGCAAUAUCAUUUGUAACUACACGCGAACAGCUUAAUGGAUCUUCAUCGCAAGAUUAGCUAUCCUGAAUAGAUUACACAGCAAGGAUGCACACAGUGCAAGAAGCUGAAUGAAUGCAUCAAUGCUCCACCAAAAAGCUUUACAUUAUAAUGAGGGGUGAUUUCCAGAAAGUUCCUUGGAGCAGUAUAAUUUGUAACUACAUGCGGAUGGCUGAAUGGAUGUUCACAACAAGAUUAGCUAUCCUGAAUAGAUUGCACAGUAAGGAUGGAAACAGUGCAACAAGCUGAAUGAAUGCAUUAAUCCUCCACCAAAAAAUUGUACAUUGUAAUAAGGGCUGAUGUCCAGAAAGUUCCUUGGAGUAGUAUCAUUUGUAACUACACCAGGACGGCUAAAUGGAUCUUUAUCACAAGAUUAGCUAUCCUGAAUAGAUUACACAAUAAGGAUGGACAAAAUUCAAAAAGCUAAAUGAAUUCAUCAAUCCUCCACCAAAAAGUCAUACAUUGUAAUGAGGGCUGAUUUUCAGAAAGUUCCUUGGAAUAGGAUCAUUUGGAAAUACACUGGGGCAGCUGAAUGGAUCUUCAUCACAAGAUUAGCUAUCCUAUAUAGAUUUCACAGAAAGGAUGGACACAGUACAAGAAGCAGAAUGAAUGCAUUAAUACUCCAUCAAAAAGUUGUACAUUGUAAUGAGGGCUGAUUUGUAGAAAGUUCCUUGGAGCAGGAUCAUUUGGAAAUAUACGCGUGCAGCUGAAUGGAUCUUCAUCACAAGAUUAGCUAUCUUGUAUAGAUUCCACAGUAAGGAUGGACACAGUGCAAAAAGCAGAAUGAAUGCAUCAAUACUCCAUCAAAAAGCUGUACAUUGCAAUGAGGGUUGAUUUCCAGAAAGUUCCUUGGAGCAGUAUAAUUUGUAACUACAUGCAUAUGGCUGAAUGGAUCUUCAUCACAAGAUUAGCUAUCUUGAAUAGAUUGCACAGUAAGGAUGGACACAGUGCAAUAAGCUGAAUGAAUGCAUCAAUUCUUCACUAAAAAGUUGUACAUUGUAAUGAGGGGUGAUUUCCAGAAAGUUCCUUAGAGCAGGAUCAUUUGUAAAUACACGCGGGUAGUUGAAUAGAUCUUCAUCACAAGGUUAGCUAUCCUAAAUAGAUUGCACAGUAAGGAUGGACACAGUGCAAGAAGUUGAAUGAAUGCAUCAAUACUAAACCAAAAAGUUGUACAUUGUAAUAAGGGCUGAUUUAUAAAAAGUUUCUUGGAGCAGUAUCAUUUGUAACUACACGCAGACAGCUGAAUGGAUCUUCAUCACAAGUUUAGCUAUUCUGAAUAGAUUUUACAGUAAGAAUGGACACAGUGUAAGAACCUGAAUAAAUGCAGUAAUGCUCCACAAAAAAGAUGUAUAUUGUAAUGAGGGGUGAUUUACAGAAAGUUCCUUGGAGCAGGAUCAUUUGUAAAUACGCACGGGCAGCUGAAUGGAUCAUUGUCACAAGAUUAGCUAUCUUGAAUAGAUUGCACUAUAAGGAUGGGCAAAGCGCAAGAAGCUGAAUGAAUGCAUCAAUACUCCAUCAAAAAGCUGUACAUUGUAAUGAGGGCUGAUUUCCCGAAUGUUCCUUGGAGUAGUAACAUUUGUAACUACACGUGGACAGCUGAAUGGAUCUUCAUCACAAGAUUAGCUAUCCUGAAUAGAUUACACAGUAAGGAUGGACACAGUGCAAGAAGCUGAAUAAAUGCAUCAAUGCUCCACCAAAAAGCUGUACAUUGUAAUGAGGGUUGAUUACCAGAAAGUUCCUUGGAGUAGUAUCAUUUGUAACUACACGCGGACAACUGAAUGGAUCUUCAUCACAAGAUUAGCUAUCUUGAAUAGAUUGCACAGUAAGGAUGGACAUAGUGCGAAAAGUUGAAUGAAUGCAUCAAUACUCCAUCAAAAAGUUGUACAUUGUAAUGAGGGCUGAUUACCAAAAAGUUCCUCGGAGUAGUAUCAUUUGUAACUACACGCGGACAGCUGAAUGGAUCUUCAUCACAAGAUUAGCUAUCCUGAAUAGAUUACACAGUAAGGAUGGACUCAGUGCAAGAAGCUGAAUGAAUGCAUCAAUGCUCCACCAAAAAGCUUUACAUUGUAAUGAGGGGUGAUUUUCAGAAAUUUCCUUGGAACAGGAUCAUUUCUAAAUACACGCGGGCAGCUGAAUGGAUCUUCAUCACAAGAUUAGCUAUCUUGAAUAGAUUGCAUAGUAAGGAUGGACACAAUGCAAGAAGCUGAAUAAAUGCAUCAAUACUCCAUCAAAAAGCUACACAUUGUAAUGAGGGCUGAUUUCUAGAAAGUUCCUUGGAGUAGUAUCAUUUGUAACUACACGCAGACAGCUGAAUGGAUCUUCAUCACAAGAUUAGCUAUCCUGAAUAGAUUGCACAGUAAAGAUGGACACAGUGCAAGAAGCUGAAUGAAUGCAUCAACGCUCUAUCAAAAAGCUGUACAUUGUAAAGAGGGGUGAUUUCCAGAAAGUUCCUUGGAGCAGGAUCAUUUGGAAAUACACGUGGGCAGCUGAAUGGAUCUUCAUCACAAGAUUAGCUAUCCUGAAUAGAUUUCACAGUAAGGAUUGACACAGUUAAAUAAGCUGAAUGAAUGCAUCAAUGCUCCACCAAAAAGUUGUACACUGUAAUUAGUGGUGAUUUCCAGAAAGUUCCCUGGAGCAGGAUCAUUUGUAAAUACACGCGGGCAGCUGAAUGGAUCUUCAUCACAAGAAUAGCUAUUUUGAAUAGAUUGCACAGUAAUGAUGGACAUAGUGCAAGAAGUUGAAUGAAUGCAUUGUAAUGAGGGCUGAUUUUGAAAAAGUUCCUUGGAGCAAUAUCAUUUGUAACUACACGCGGACAGUUGAAUAGAUCUUUAUCACAAGAUUAGCUAUCCUGAAUAGAUUGCACAGUAAGGAUGGACACAGUGCAUGAAGCUGAAUGAAUGCAUUAGUGCUCCACCAAAAAGCUGUACAUUGUAAUGAGGGCUGAUUUCCAGAAAGUUCCUUGGAGCAGUAUCAUUUGUAACUACACGCGGGAAGCUGAAUGGAUCUUCAUCAAAGAUUAGCUAUCCUGAAUAGAUUACAUAGUAAUGAUGGACACAGUGCAAGAAGCUGAAUGAAUGUAUCAACGCUCCACCAAAAAGCUGUACAUUGUAAUGAGGGGUGAUUUCCAGAAAGUUCCUUUGAGUAGGAUCAUUUGUAAAUACACGCGGGCAGCUGAAUAUAUCUUCAUCACAAGAUUAGCUAUCCUGAAAAGAUUGCACAGUUAGGAUGGACACAGUGAAAGAAGCUGAGUGAAUACAUCAAUACUCCAUCAAAAAGCUGUACAUUAUAAUGAGGGGUGAUUUCCAGAAAGGUCCUUGGAGAAGGAUCAUUUGUAAAUACACGCGGGCAGCUGAAUGGAUCUUCAUCACGAGAUUAGCUAUCUUGAAUAGAUUGCAAAGUAAAGAUGGACACAGUGCAAGAAGCUGAAUGAAUGCAUCAAUACUCCAUCAAAAAGCUGUACAUUGUAAUGAGGGCUGAUUUCCAGAAAGUUCCUUGGAGCAGUAUCAUUUGAAACUACGCGCGGAUAGCUGAAUGGAUCUUCAUCACAAGAUUAGCUAUCUUGAAUAGAUUGCACAGUAAGGAUGGACACAGUGCAAGAAGAUGAAUGAAUGCAUCAAUGCUCCACCAAAAAGCUGUAUAUUGUAAUGAGGGGUGAUUUCCAGAAAGUUCCUUGGAGCAGGAUCAUUUGUAAAUACACGCGGGCAGCUGAAUGGAUCUUCAUCACAAGAUUAGCUAUCUUGAAUAAAUUGCACAGUAAGGAUGGACACAGUGCAAGAAGCUGAAUGAAUGCAUCAAUACUCCAUCAAAAAGCUGUACAUUGUAAUGACGGCUGAUUUCUAGAAAGUUCCUAGGAGCAGUAUCAUUUGUAACUACACGCGGACAGCUGAGUGGAUCUUCAUCACAAGAUUAGCGAUCCUGAAUAGAUUGCACAGUAAGGACGUACACAGUGCAAGAAGCUGAAUGAAUGCAUCAAUGCUCCAUCAAAAAGCUGUACAUUGUAAUGAGGGGUGAUUUCCACAAAGUUCCUUGGAGCAGGAUCAUUUGUAACUAUACGAGGGCAACUGAAUGGAUCUUCAUCUCAAAAUCUGCUAUCCUGAAUAGAUUGCACAGUAAGGAUGGGCUAAUGAAGCAGGGCAUCACAGAUAACCAACUGCGGUCCUAUGCGGUGGAGGCAUUGAAUCUAGUGAACAUCUCUUCUUUAUUUGCGAUUACUUGAAACUCAAUAUGGACAGAACUCUUAAAUUGGCAAGGUGUCACAGAGUAGCUACAACAUGGCAAGAGGAGCUGGACUGGGCCAACGAAAUGCACGAUGGAAAGGACCAGCAACAACUAUAUUCAGAAUGAGCAUUGCAACUGUAGUUUACAACGUUUGGAUAGAGAGGAAUCAGAGGAAAUUCCAAGCCAAGUCCAUUGAUCCACGCGUGAUAACCAGAAGAGUAGUGUAGGAGAUCUUUCAGAGGGUCUUUGAAGCCUCAGCACAAUAACAAAUUAGUAGAUGUCAACUACUAUCCUUAGUGGUAUUUUGUUUUUCCAAUCAUUAUUGCCUUUAACGUUAUGGUUAAUAGUUGGCUAACUGAUUGGUUGCUAUGCCAAUGCAGUUUGGAUUUGUACGGAACGUUAGCACUUUUUGAAAAAGAAAAGUAGCUUAUCUUAGGAAGAAGAAAAAAUCAAUGAUUCUACAGAACAGAGAGAUCAUAUCUGCAGUUAAAUCUUCCUAUGAUAAUUAGCAAAAAUGAAAUUUUACUAGAAUAAACUGGAGAACCAACUACCAUUUAUUUUUAGUACCGUCUUUGCAUCCAGUUGACCACCUGUACACCUUUCAUCCUAGAUUCCUUCCGUGUAUGAUUAUCACUCUCUUCUGUGUCUCCAUGGGACCUGAUGAAUUUCCAGAAUAAUUUGAUGAUAUUUCUAUAAAAUGUUGACAUGAAGGUUGAGCUGCGUCAGCAAGAGGAUUAAGAGAAGUCCUGGAAUCACUAAGCUCUUUUUCACUUUCCUCAUCCAUUUGAAUCUUGCCAGCACUGACUAUAUGCCGACAAGCAUAUCACGACAUAAAAGACUUGGAAGUGUUCGCCAUUCCUAUUGAGUGUUGUUAUAGCCAUCCACUAUAUUUAUCUUCGAUAUAAAGAAUAUUUGUCCUGAAGUACACCUAGACAAUACAUCACACAUACGUGUAUAACUGAUAGAGAA
rnacentral:lncRNA from 1 species